UUGCAGUUAAAAAGCUCGUAGUUGGAUUUGUGGCUGUCGACAGCGGCCUAUCACCUAGUGUUAGUGCUUGCUGGCGUCGCCAUCCUUGGGUGGAGCCUGUGUGGCAUUAGGUUGUCGUGCAGGGGAUGCCCAUCGUUUACUGUGAGAAAAUUAGAGUGUUCAAAGCAGGCUUAUGCCGUUGAAUAUGUUAGCAUGGAAUAAUAAGAUAGGACCUUGGUACUAUUUUGUUGGUUUGCGCACCGAGGUAAUGAUUAAUAGGGACAGUUGGGGGUAUUCGUAUUCCAUUGUCAGAGGUGAAAUUCUUGGA
rnacentral:rRNA from 1 species